UUAUUUGAGAGUUUGAUCCUAGCUCAGGAUGAACGCUGGCGGCGUGGAUAAGGCAUGCAAGUCAAGCGAUGCAACUUCCAACUUCCAGCUUCCAACUACCAACAAAAAAUAAAAUGCUAAGAUAUAGAAAUUUUAAAGUAUAUACUGAUGUAAAAGAAUUUCACAAAUUGGUAGUUAAACUGACCGCUAAAUUUCCAAAAGAUUUUGACUACCUUGUUAGACAAGUUAGACGAAGUUCUUUAUCGAUUAUUCUUAAUAUUGCCGAGGGUUCGGCAAAAAAUUCUGAUAAGGAUUUUAAUCGAUAUUUAUUGAAUUCAUUAGGUUCGGUAAAUGAAACUUUAGCUGGAUUUGAAGUAGCAAAAGACUUCAAUUUAGUUUCCGUUCAAGAAUUUGACGAAAUAGAAAAACGUGCCAUAAAUAUCGCAAAUCAGCUUGGCGGUUUUUCUAAAAAAUUAAAAAGUUAAUUGUUGGCGGUUGGAAGUUGGUAGUUGCAGAGCGGCGAACGAGUUAGUAAUACCUUGAUUACCUACCUUUGAGUCAGACAUAAUCCGUUGAAAGGCGGACUAAUAUCUGAUGGUCCCCGUUAGAUAACUAUCUAACGGGGUAAAGAAGCAAUUCGCUUAAAGAGGGGUCUAGGUUCUAUCAGCUUGUUGGUGAGGUAAUGGCUCACCAAGGCUAUGACGGGUAGGGGGCCUGAGAGGGUGUUCCCCAACGACGAGACUGAGAACGGCUCGUACUCCUACGGGAGGCAGCAGUCGAGAAUAUUGGUCAAUGGGCGAAAGCCUGAACCAGCGACGCCGCGUGCAGGAAGAAGGCCUUCGGGUUGUAAACUGCUUUUUCCGCCGAUGAAGCCGCAAGGUUGACAGUAGGCGGAGAAUAAGAGGUUGCUAACUCUGUGCCAGCAGCAGCGGUAAUACAGAGACCUCAAGCGUUAUCCGGAUUUAUUGGGCGUAAAGAGCGCGUAGGGUGUUCGAUGCGUUUAUUGUUAAAUCUCUUUGCUCAACAAAGAGGCCGCAAUAAAUACGGUCGAACUAGAGGGCGUCAGAGGUUAUUUGGAACGCACGGUGUAGGGGUGAAAUCCGUUGAUAUCGUGCGGAACACCAAAGGCGAAGGCAAAUAACUGGGGCGUUUCUGACCCUGAGGCGCGAAAGCGUGGGGAGUAAAAAGGAUUAGAUACCCUUGUAAUCCACGCCCUAAACGAUGUCCACUUGCUGUCUGGAGUAUCGACCCUCUGGGUGGCGUAGCUAACGCGUUA
rnacentral:rRNA from 1 species